CUUCUUGUUGAUAGCGGGUCACUUCCUGUUGAUCGACUUACUUGGGCUCCAGUUGAAUGUUAAUGGGCUGUAAUGUUUUGGUCGAUUUUAGGAAGGAAGACUGCAUUUCCCAUGAGGACCAGCGCACAGUGUCGUAAAAUCUCCCGGUCGCCUGCAGAUGGAUAAAACAACAUUUCUGUUUCCAGCGGCUAUGUGAAGGACAAACUAAUGAGACUGUGUAACCAAGUGACAUUUUAACAGCAACAAAAAAGUGGAUGCGCACAGAUGAGAGGCCUCAAGUUGAGGCGAGACACUGUUUUCUUUGGCUCACAGCUGGUCUUUGCUGUGUACCUUUUGCAAAUGUCACCGACCCUCCAAAAACUCAAAUAAACCCCAAACCAAAGCCCGACUGACCCGGGACUGUACAGACAACAGCCAAAGAGUAUGUACGUAGUUAGUGCUGGGGGAAAACAAACAAAAACGGUCGAAGUCCUGACAAAAAUUUUCAAAAAUGUGAGGGGUAAAACUAACGUCACUGUUUUCGAGCACAACUCCCUUCCUUUGUGCGA